GGGGAUGUAGUUAAAAAUAACAUCUAAUUUGCAAUUAGAAAGUACUUUAUUAGUCUUCCUCA
rnacentral:tRNA from 1 species